AUGCCAUGGUGUAGACACUCCCUCUGAAGAUCUUUGUACCCUUCCCAUGCAUCAUAGAGAGAUUCAUUGUCUUUAUGUCUAAAGGUGUUGAGUUUAACUCUAAGCCU